UACGUAGGGGCCGAGCGUUGUCCGGAGUUAUUGGGCGUAAAGCGCGCGCAGGCGGCCUCGCGCGCCCGACGUGAAAGCCCCCGGCUUAACCGGGGAGAAUCGUUGGGGACGGCGGGGCUUGAGGGCGGGAGAGGUCGGUGGAAUUCCCGGUGUAGUGGUGAAAUGCGUAGAGAUCGGGAGGAACACCUGUGGCGAAGGCGGUUCUCUGGGCCUGUACUGACGCUGAGGAGCGAAAGCGUGGGGAGCGAACAGG
rnacentral:rRNA from 1 species